GCAAACUUGGUCAUUUAGAGGAAGUAAAAGUCGUAACAAGGUUUCCGUAGGUGAACCUGCGGAAGGAUCAUUACUGAAGAAAUGGUAGUGCUGAGCUGACUCUUAGGAGUAUGUGCUUGCUCUAUCGCUUUUUCUACUCUCCACUGUGCACCUUUUGUAGGCUAUGAUGACUCUCAAGUUCCCCCUUAAAACAGGGGAACUUGGAUAGAGGGCUAUGCGAUCUUGGUUGCUUGCUUUCAACUUUGUAGCCUACGCUCUAUAUAAACUACUAGUCUCAUGAAUGUGUAUUGUUGGUCUUUGACCGAUAAACUAUAUACAACUUUCAGCAACGGAUCUCUUGGCUCUCGCAUCGAUGAAGAACGCAGC
rnacentral:misc_RNA from 1 species